AGGAUUGGCACAGAGGGAUGGCUUUAUGGCACAAGCUGAACUGCGAUAGCCAAGUAUUUCCUGAGCAAGUCACCUUAAUGCCUUCAGAAAUAGUAAGUGACGUGGCUGUUCAGAGUGACCAAGUAUCUACACCUUCAAAUCAGUGGAAAUGAUACAAGGGAAAGAAACAUCUACAGACAGAAGCUGGAUAAAGUUAAUCCCUGGGGUCCUUUGGGCUGAUUUGUUGCUCAACCAAAUUAAUUCCUGUGCCUAAACACCAUCAAGAUGACUUCAAAACAGAAGUAAGGUGGUUUGUGGGCCUCUCACAGGUGCAUCUCAUAGAGAAGAGCAGCAAAGUGCCUCUGGCUUCUCCCAGAAAUCAGUUCCAGAUGUACUGGGACAGAGCUUCCCUUCGGAGGAAAUACAUGUUUUCAGCUCUGACCACCCACAAGGGAAAGGAAAAGCAGAGAAGAGCACACAGCUUACACAAAACGAUUCCUGCGACAAAAGGACCCUUUCUUAGCCAUACUGAUUAUAUGGUAUCUCUUAUGGCAGUUUC